CGGUCGGCCGUGACCCUGCUGGAGUGCGGGGGGGACCUCCAGCCCCCCGGAGGGUCCCUGACGUUGCUGUGCCGUGCAUCUGGGUUUGAUUUUGGCAGUUUUGGGAUGUGCUGGAUGCGCCAGAGACCCGGGCAGACACUGGAAUACAUCGCCAGUAUCAGCAACACUGGUGAUUGCACCUACUACACGCCGUCGGCCAAGGGCCGGUUCAGGAUCUCCAGGGACAACGGGCAGAGCUCGGUGACGCUGACCAUGAACAACCUCAAGGACAGGGAUUCGGCCAUUUAUUUCUGUGCCAAAUGCGCUAGUAGAAGUUAUGGUGAUGGUGUUGCUACUUUUAGUGAAAAUUCCGGCAGUGGCCCCAGCUCUCGGAUGGUCACCAGAUGUCUCCACUCACAGUGA